CGUACAGGUCAUUUACUGGGUGUCAGGCCCUGCAGGAGUGAUUGAGUGAGUGAGCAGGGACUCCAGGUCCUGUCCGGGUCACCCUGACCUCAAUAGCAAUGAGGGUUUUUUUAGGCAGCCACAAGAUUUCUGGUACGCAGCGCUUGAAAACUCAAGGUUGGGGAAGAAAGCCCUCAGCUCUCAAGGCAAGCAAGAAUCUUGUCUCUAGGUAAAAGGCUAACAGAACAUGUGGUUCCAACAUCUGAGGUUUGUAGACUGCAAAAAUCUCAUCGUGAAGCCAGAGAGAUUGUCACAAAUUCCCAGAGCAUACUUUGGGUAUGUCAGCUCUUGGCCUGUUCAGAGUGGGUAGGAAUGAGGUAAAGCUAAAGAUGAGCGCUAAAUACUGCCUGGCUUCCUGCCGUGUUGGUGUCUGGCCCCCAUCGUCUAGAUGGGGAAACAUAUGAGUUCUUCGUGAGCACAUUUAUCUCGACAUGUUUUAUCUGAUAAACAACGCAGGCCAGCAAAACAGCUCUGACUCCACAGGUAAAGGCGCUUCCUGCCAAACCUGAUGAUGGGAACCCACAGGGCGAAAGGAGAGAACUUUGAGUUACACACACACACACA